GGAAGGGGAGUUUCAUCUAAUGUGUCAAGUUCCUAAUGUUGAAGUAAAUGCCCUGAUGAAAACGUUUAAGAUGAGACCUUUAUUAUUCCCGUUAGCAGGUUCUGUAACUGCUGUAUUUAACUGUCAAGGCCCCCUUGAUGCUCCUGUAUUUGUGGGAAGUGGGAUGGUUUCCAGGAAGAUAUCUCAUUCAGUUUCAGAAGUCCCUGUGUCCUCUGCGUAUGAGGCAGUGUUGAGAAGCAAAGAGGCUGGUGCUGUAGCAGCAUUUGACCGUGUUCCAUUUUCAUAUCUGUCAGCUAAUUUCACAUUUAACACUGAC
rnacentral:misc_RNA from 1 species